UGAAAUCUGGCUUUCGGGCCCGAGUUGUAAUUUGUAGAGGAUACUUUUGAUGCGGUGCCUUCCGAGUUCCCUGGAACGGGACGCCAUAGAGGGUGAGAGCCCCGUCUGGUUGGAUGCCAAAUCUCUGUAAAGUUCCUUCGACGAGUCGAGUAGUUUGGGAAUGCUGCUCUAAAUGGGAGGUAUAUGUCUUCUAAAGCUAAAUAUUGGCCAGAGACCGAUAGCGCACAAGUAGAGUGAUCGAAAGAUGAAAAGCACUUUGAAAAGAGAGUUAAAAAGUACGUGAAAUUGUUGAAAGGGAAGCGUUUAUGACCAGACUUGGACUUGGUUAAUCAUCUGGGGUUCUCCCCAGUGCACUUUUCCAGUUCAGGCCAGCAUCAGUUUUCGCCGGGGGAUAAAGGCUUCGGGAAUGUAGCUCUCUUCGGGGAGUGUUAUAGCCCGUUGUGUAAUACCCUGGUGGAGACUGAGGUUCGCGCUUCUGCAAGGAU
rnacentral:rRNA from 1 species